rnacentral:lncRNA from 1 species
AAUGAAUUUAAAAUUAUAACUGUGAAGUGUAAAUGUUGAAGUUCUUCAAUACUAGUUUCAUUUUGUUUUGCUAGUUCUCUGUUUUAUUCUUAUUUUUCAGUUCUUUCAUAUGUGAGGAGAUCAUAUACUGGUGAUAUUUACCACGUCUUUAAAAAAAUCAUACAGGUACCAAGCUACCAAGCUUACUUUGCACAUGUAACUUAUUUUAUGGUAAAACUUGUAUGUAUCUGCAAUUGUAAAUGAUUCAGGAAGAUAAUAGGUAUGCCUCAAAUCACACAUUGGGAAUGGAUCUGCCACUCUUAGGUAAGUUUUAACUCAAAACACUAUAUAUUAGUGUCCUUUUCUCUAUUUUUCUGAAGUUCCAGAUUACUAGUCCUGCAUAAUAUUAGAAGUUUGGUAUGCUUAUUUUGUUCUUCUAUUAUUUUGAAUGACUUGUGAAAGAUACAUUCAUCAUGACCUUGUAAAUCAUUCGUAUACAAGUUUUAAUUACUUAAAUUUAUAUUGUUUCGUGGUAUUAUGUUCCAAGUUUCAACUAGCAAGUUUCAUAUUUUGCCUUUUAUUAUAGUACCAGUAUAUUUUUGUUCAAUAUGAACAAUUUUCAACAAAGACAGCAUAUUUGGCAUUGUAUGAACUCUCUCCUAUUGACAAGUCUUAAUUCAUAACAUUUUGGUUCUCUUGCUUUCUAAAUGUUCAGGUAAACAACAAGUCAGACUGGGGCCAUGUCAGUGAUGCCAUAGUUGUUUAGCUAAGGUAUGUUAUGUAGGUUCAAUUAGGAAUUUGGACAUGUGACACUAAAAUUUUAGAGUAAUGAGGAUAAUCAUAAUGUCCCCAAGGUCAUAAUACUAUUUUUCCUCUAAAAAAGAUUAUUUGUAAAUGGGCUAUUGAAACACUAGAAUGAAUUAUGAGCAUGCUGAUGCACCAAAGGAUGUAUUAUCAAGCAAAUGCCUAUGUACUUGAUUUCUUGUACAUUUAUUAUAUACAAUGACUAUGUUUUAUUAUAAUAUAUUGUUUGAGGCCUUCCUUUUUCAAUGAAGUGGGUGGUUCUCAUCAAGUGAUAGGUCGUAGAAGAAAGUAGGGCUAGAGUUUGACAAUAUCUUUUGUAUUGGUCUUUGUGUUUGUACUAAAAUUUGUCAUUGAUUUUCUCAUAAGAAAGUAUGGCCAAAGUUUGACAAUAUCUCUUUUGUAGUGGUCUUUGUGUGUGUACUAUUCAAUUCGGAUUUGUCUUGUAGUCGGCUUCGUAUUGUUUAUGAAAUGAAUGUAUUACAAGAGU